rnacentral:rRNA from 1 species
UGUGGUCCCACCUGACCCCAUGCCGAACUCAGAAGUGAAACGCACCCGCGCCGAUGAUAGUGUGGCAGCUGCCAUGUGAAAGUAGGUCACUGCCAGGC